UAAACGGAGGCCAAAUAGAGGUGCCUAGCUGUUAAUUAGGAGAUUGUAACUAUUCUACCCGUUUAG
rnacentral:tRNA from 1 species